AAUGCUUGUACGCUAUUUGAAUUAUGUAAUGACGCAUCGAACGGGCCAAUAAAGCCAUUGAAUAAGAGUCGUGUGCGUGAGCGAGCCGAGCUGUGGCCAACGGCAACAGCAGCAUCAACAUUCGUCCAAAUCACAACCUGAAACUGCACCAGCAACAUUUGAAGCCGUAAGGAAAAUAAUCGAAUUAUUAUAUUAAACAACUUUAUAUUGAGGUCCCUACCUCAUUGUGCAGCACAAGCUGCCUUAUUUAUGAGCAUUAAAGAGUCCCAGUAAGUCCCCAAGUUAGAACAUACCCCGCACUCCGCUUAAAAGAGUUGUUUGUGUUCCUGUGUGUACGUUCAAAGACCGAGGAAGUCUCCUCGAACUUUACUCUUGCGAACUAAGCUCGUUCAUACCUGUUCAAUGGUAAAAUAAGGGUGACGGAGGGGCGCGUAUCAUACUACUACGAAGACAAUAGGAAAAUAAACCAACAAAGACAGGAGUUUAAAGUGUGAAUCUUUGAGCUGAAACGUAAACUUCUGGAGAUUGUGUGUUUUCGGCUUGAUUUUAACAAAAAAAAAAAAAAUCAUUA
rnacentral:lncRNA from 1 species